GACGAACGCUGGCGGCGUGCUUAACACAUGCAAGUCGAACGGAAAGGCCCUGCUUUUGUGGGGUGCUCGAGUGGCGAACGGGUGAGUAACACGUGAGUAACCUGCCCUUGACUUUGGGAUAACUUCAGGAAACUGGGGCUAAUACCGGAUAGGAGCUCCUGCUGCAUGGUGGGGGUUGGAAAGUUUCGGCGGUUGGGGAUGGACUCGCGGCUUAUCAGCUUGUUGGUGGGGUAGUGGCUUACCAAGGCUUUGACGGGUAGCCGGCCUGAGAGGGUGACCGGCCAAAUUGGGGCUGGGAUAAGGGCCAGAAUCCUACGGGGGGCAGGAGUGGGGAAUAAUGCAACAUGGGCGGAAGGCUGAUGCAGGAACGGCGCGGGCGGGGUGACGGCCUUCGGGUUGUAAACCGCUUUCGCCUGUGACGAAGCGUGAGUUAAGGUAAUGGGUAAAGAAGCACCGGCUAACUACGUG
rnacentral:rRNA from 1 species